GUCACAGUCAGCUGUAGUUGGAUGGAGGAGGACAACAGGAGUCCCUGCUGCCCCUUGCAGUCAUGGAUGUGGCAUUGAUCACAGUGUGUGUAUUCCAUUGGUGAGUGCUCAAUCAAUGGUUCUGCUGCCUAGAAGGUCGGGAAGUGAGUUUUCCUCCAUGCUCCAGAGAAGGUACGUGAUUAGGGUCAGCACAUACCAGUAGCUCUGCUCCACCAGCACAAACUGGUUCAGAACUCAGACGGCAAGAGACACAGAGGAAAGCAACAAAUAUGUGAGAACCAAGACAGAGAAAAGAACAAAGAUCAGAACAGGACCAGAGAGACAUUUGCCUAUUGACCAAUGUGGUAAAAGGGUAUGGGAAUUGAUUCCAGAACUUUAUUAUGUAAGGUUAACUUUGUAACAAACUGUACAUAAUUCUCAUUUCAUAGUUGGACUCAAUCAUUCUCUACUACCCUGUUUUGCAGUCUUUAUCAAUUCUUGGGUUAAAGAACACUACCAGGGGCUGGGGCUGUAGCUAAGUUGCAGCGCAAGGCCCUGGGUUUAAUCUCCGGUAUGUACUGCAAAACAAAACAAAGCAUAACAUAACAAGACCUCACACUAGGUACUUCUAACAGGAGGAGGCUGGGCUGGCAGAGUCUCGCUGACAAUUGAGGUCAAAACUCCUGUGCAGGGGCGUGAAGCAGGGAGAGGUCCACCUUCAGUGGGGCCACUCUGAUUCUUCUCAUUCCCAUCUGGGGCGCUGCACAUUUCUCUCGGGGAUCCUGGAAAAACUGGCAAGUAAAGAAAGUGUCACCCUCAGGCUUGCUGGAAGGGCUUUUUUUGAGAAAAACAAAAAACCAAAAAACAAAAACCAAUGAAAAUCUCAGGGAAGCUAAAAACAAAUAACCCUGACCAAUGUCUCCCACCUGUUGUUAAAAAAAAAAAAAAUUUAAAAAAACUGAGCUUCAUUACUUCAAACCCAAAUUCCUGUGAGCCUGGCAGCCACUCUAUUUCAGGUUAAAUAUCCAUUUGUCUGCCGGGCCUAAUGCUUAAAAUCAUAGGUAAUCUCUAUUUUCUCUCCGUCCUCUGAAGUAUAAACCUCUGCUGACUGGAGAAAUGUGACUCUCUGUCAGGGAGGGCCUGUGUGAGUGAGUGUAGGAGGGCAUGCCGGCGUGAGAAUGUGUCUAGGUCGUACAGGUAUUUGUGUUACUCUGUGGAGCCUGCGUAUGCACAAGAGAUUCAGAGCGCGAAGAAGAGCAACUCGGGGGAUCCACGUUUCACCUAACAUGAUAUGAGACUCUAGGUAACUGGCUGUAGAGAAAUGGGAACCCACAGGGAACCAACACCAGGGCGGUUGAAAGGCCCAGAAGACUUAACCCUUACUUGACUUGGUAAUUACAAGCACCUGCAAGGCUCUGUCUCGGGGAGGAGAGGGCAGCGCUACUGCCAGCUGACAUCUGCCUGGAGCAAAGAAGGAGGGCUUCAGCCCUGAGCAGAACUUUGGCAUCGCUUUUGCGCUCAGCUGUCAUGCCCACUUGCACUGUGCACAAGGCUGCCUGUCAGACUGUGCCGAAUUCUAUGGCGUGGUUCCAGAGCUUUCUGUCUGCCCUCUGUUGCCCUACCUGUGUGCUCCCGGAGGACUCUCGUUUCCAUAACAACAGGCCCCACCCGCGUGGUGUGGGUGGCCACCUGCCGGUUCCUGACGAUUUAGCCACCCCUCACCCGGCCCCUCCAGCCUUGCAGUGCUUGUUCCCAUCCACGCAAGAGUGCUGAUCGUCAGAAUUUCCUGAGUGAAAAGAGGAAAAUGGUGACUCAGUGCAUACGUAAAUAAAAGUUACAGGCGAAGUAGGCAGGGCUGACCUUGACUGGCCUCCCUAGCAGAAGCGCAAUAGGAUUAAGUGGCUUGCCAGCCUCACAAGUACCUAGGCCAGCUGUGGGAGUGAUUGAGGACUUCAAAAAGCAAAGUCAGAAUCAACUGGGAGAUGUAGCUGACAUCAGAAGUCAUCAGCGCAGGGGGCUGAAGUACCUGGCAUUCCUGUCACAGGUCCUGCCGAGGCUCAACUCAGCCUCCUCCAUAAGGACUGAUUUUUCCAUCUGGCCUAACCAGAGCCUGAGGUUGAAUCCCACAGAACCAGUAGGUUCAACCUGAGCUGGCUGAAACAUGCACAGAACUGAGAAAGACAAAUUUGAUCCUUUCUGAAAGACCGAUGCAGCAGAAUUGUGCUCCCCCCUGCUCAGACCCAAGCCCUUAAAGAGAAAACAUUCUGUUCUUCCAACUCUAGAGAUGCCCCCAUCAUGGAGAAACAGCAGUCUCCAAAGGAUUUUGCAUUCCAGAAGCUGGCUGGAUGACAGUGUUAAAUGGAAGCAUGUUGUCAAAGAGAUCUGUUUCACAUCACAGGUCCUGGGGUACAAAGAUCAGAGAAGGCUGGAAUGACCUCAGCUCCAGAAACCCCAGCACAGAGGUGGAAGAGAAGCAUAAAUUUCCCAGAUGCUUGAGAAGAGUUGAAGGGCAAUAGAGCACCAGUAGACCCAGAUUUCUGAAAGAAGUGACAAGGGAACAUUGCAACAAAAAGUAGCAAGACCAGGUCAGGUCAUGGACAGUCUUAGAGUACAGCUGACCAGGGGUGGGUCACAGCUCAGGACAGUCACCACUUGCCAGUAUAAGCUGCCCCACACGGGUACUCACUAGUAAAAAGGAAGAAAAUAGGAAACACCAGAACUAACUGAACUUCAAGAUAAAAAGACUGAAAAAACACAGUUUUUUUUUUUCCAGAAAUAAUUAAGGUUGCAAGGUACUAAGUGAAUUAAAUUGCAUUAUAAAAAUAUUAUGUAUUUUUUACCACAGCGAUGUAUGUGCACCCAUGUUUAUAGCAGCAUGAUUUGUCAUAGCUAAAUCUUGGAAGCAGCCCAGACGUCCAUCAGUUGAGGAGAGGAUAAAAAGGAUGUGGCAUUUUUAUACAACGGAGUAUUACUCAGCUAUAAAGAAUGAUAAAC